rnacentral:rRNA from 1 species
CCAGCAGCCGCGGUAAUUCCAGCUCCAAUAGCGUAUAUUAAAGUUGUUGCAGUUAAAAAGCUCGUAGUUGGAUUUCUGGCAGGAGUGACCGGCCACACACUCUGUGUGUGAGCUGCGUCAUUCUGGCCAUCCUUGGUGAGAUCCUAUUUGGCAUUAAGUUGUCGGGUAGGGGAUAACCAUCGUUUACUGUGAAAAAAUUAGAGUGUUUAAAGCAGGCUUAUGCCGUUGAAUAUAUUAGCAUGGAAUAAUAAGAUAGGACUUUGAGUCUAUUUUGUUGGUUUGCGAGUCAAAGUAAUGAUUAAUAGGGACAGUUGGGGGUAUUCGUAUUUCAUUGUCAGAGGUGAAAUUCUUGGAUUUCUGAAAGACGAACUACUGCGAAAGCAUUUACCAAGGAUGUUUUCAUUAAUCAAGAACGAAAGU